AACCCCCUGUCUUGGACAUACAACCCAGAUAGCUGAGGUGUGUGCCCAGGAGAGCGUGCUUGAACCUUAACUGGAUAUAAGUACGAAAACAAGUUAAUAUGAAACGAAAAUAAAUAAAGUACCCUACUCGUUCCGGUAGAUAUUGUUACAAAACUGAGGAACUUCCCAUGGUAUCUUGACUGAACAAGACUGAGAUUAUAUACUAAAAUGGGAAGUUCACACAUAUAUCAGAGAUGGGGCGGUUACUUAAGAAAGUGAUCGAUUACCAUUGCGAAUACAUUUUCCAGUAAUCAUGAUAACAAUCAUGAUUACAUUUCCACAAAUAUGCACAAAUAGUGAAAUAAUGUUGCCAACAUAAAAUUAUCCACUUUAUUUCACAACCAAACCGAUUUCAUUCAUUGAAAGACAUAAUAGGUACAUUUUUGAUUAUUUAUUAAAUGAUUUCAAAAAUGGAUGAACAUAUGUCUACUGCAGGGAGGGAAUCGGUUUCCAAAACCAGAUUUGUUAUUCUUAAAUUUUUAUUAGUGACAAAAUGUAACGAUAACUAUAGGUAUAAUUAUUGUAUCAGUGCAUAACAUAUUAUUUUUAAUGAUUUAACUAAAUGUAACGAUAACUAUAGGUAUAAUUAUUGUAUCAGUGCAUAACAUAUUAUUUGUAAUGAUUUAACUAAGCCAUAAUUAGUAAUUGCAACUGUUUGACCACUAUACAAUUUGUUGUAUUGUUUGUAGAACGUAUACUUUUUAAUAUGAUCCUCAAAUUAAAAGAUUUUGUUUUUAAAUCUAUAAAUGAAGAAAUAAGGAUAGAACGAAAGAAAAGAUGCAACAAGUAAAUAAAUAAUUAAACUGAUAUCUGCAUACAUGUACAUGUAUUAUGUACACAAGUUGCUCAUUGCAUUUAAUUGUUGAUACUUUAAAAAUGACUGAUUAGUGUUGCUAGUUUGCUUUGUGCCAUAUUAUAGGAAUCCAACUGUAUCGGUGAAAAUUACAAGUAUCUUGGUCUGGGUGUGUUUAUGUUGGAAUUAUGAGGAGCGCCGUGUUUUGUAGAACAACAUGUUCAAAAUCCAUUAAAAUCUGCUUUUGGGAAUUUUUAUUACAAGUGUUUAUAUUUUAAACUAUUUUAAAGGAAUACUUUUAACUGGGUGUUUGCUUAAUCAGUUACAUUAUUUGUGGUUGUGUCUGUGACAGUGUGAGGAUGACUGCCCAUGGAAUUAAGUUUGAUACGCCUGUCUGCAGUCGUAACCACUAACAAAAGAAAAUAAAUAUUGUCAUGGUACAGUUGGUGGACUGACCAAACGAGGUAUUGUCAAGUGUUUCUUAGUUGAAUUCAGACCAGUGAUAAUGCUGUAUAUGCAUUGAGAGGAACGCAGGUGUUUUAGUAUAAUGUAUUUGUUUAUUUUUUACGGCAUUUAGGACACAAAACUGAGACAGGGCCCUUCUAUAUAUAUUGCUAGCUAGAACACUGUAUUCAUUCAAGUGGUUUUAUAGUAAACGUAAACAAGAUAGAUGCCAUUGUGUGAAUGUGUGGCUUAAUCCCCCUGGGUUACAUUCAUUUGAUAAUCAUUAUGAUCCCCCGUUUCUGAAGGCAAAUGAUAGUUCUAAUACUACUAGAGUAGUAGACAGUGGGAGAUCAGUUCUAUUGUCUGAUUGACCAGUACUGCUACUAACUAUAGACACUGUUCUAAUACUACUAGAGUAGUGGACGGUGGGAGAUCAGUUCUAUUGUCUGAUUGACCAGUACUGCUUCUAACUAUAGACACUGUUCUAAUACUACUAGAGUAGUGGACAGUGGGAGAUCAGUUCUAUUGUCUGAUUGACCAGUACUGCUAUAAACUAUAGACACUGUUCUAAUACUACUAGAGUAGUAGACAGUGGGAGAUAGUUCUAUUGUCUGAUUGACCAGUACUGCUUCUAACUAUAGACACUGUUCUAAUACUACUAGAGUAAUAGACAGUGGGAGAUCAGUUCUAUUGUCUGAUUGACCAGUACUGCUUCUAACUAUAGACACUGUUAGUGGAGUUGAUGCUAAACAUUUAAGUUUAGUAAAUUAUGAGUAAUAAUAAAAGUAAUCGCUGAUUACUAUUACAUUAGCAACGUAAUUGAUUACGAUUGCGAUUACAUGUUUUCAUGUAAAGAUUACGAUUACUGAUUAUGAUUACCCUAUCUCUGAUAUAUAUAUAUAUAUUGUACUGGGUACCUUGGAGAUCUUGCUUUUACAUUUACAUCUAAAUGUCAUGGGCACAUUAACUAUUAAAGUUAAUAUAUAGUUAAGACACCACUUGUCAUGGGCACAUUAACUCUGAAGUUAAUAUAUAGUUGACACACCACUUGUCAUGGGCACAUUAUCUCUGAAGUUAAUAUAUAGUUAACACUUGUGUGUAGAGGUGAGGUGUCGACAGGUGUCCAAUAUGUUCACCAAACAGGGUAAAUGUCUUGUUUUCAUUUUGCUUUAAUUAAUCAUGGCUGAUAUUCAGGGACUAAAAUUCACACGUGAUCAGAUUGUUAAUAUUAAUGUCUGUGGUUAAUUUCAUUGCAGUUUCUGUGUAUCACAGGGUACUGCUCAUUCUGUAUUGUGUUUAUGAUAGUGACGUGGCUGACUUGACGGUUUCCAGUAAAUAUGUAACAUUGUAUGAACAGAUUGUAGACUAAUUGUGGAAGUGUGGAAAUUACCUGUAAUUUAGUAAACCGUUGAUUACAUCUAGCUACGUCUACCUUGUUCAGAGUUCUCUCGUGUGGUUCUUUGUUUGUAUGUGUAUCGCCACAUUUGUCGUUCAUCCCAGUUGUAUGUACAGAUGUCUCUUUGUGUCUGCCCCUUUCUACAUGCAAUGCUGUCCGUUUUGAGCUACACCCCUGUGUACAGAACUAGAAUUUGUCUUUGAAAACUGUGCUGCAAGUUUUUGAAUGUUAUGGUUUUCAUAAAUUUCAUUUGGGGCCAAAGUGCUUGAAAGUAAUUUUUUUUGCUUUUUUUUUUAUAUGUUUCACUUUUUUUAUUUGUCUUGAGCACACUUCAUUUAUUGCCUCUGUACCUGGUUUGAGACAGUGAAUUAGGCCUCUUGGUUUGAGACGGUGAAUUGGGCCUCUUGGUUUGAGACGGUGAAUUGGGCCUCUUGGUUUGAGACGGUGAAUUGGGCCUCUUGGUUUGAGACAGUGAAUUGGGCCUCUUGGUUUGAGACUGAAUUAGGCCUCUUUGAGACAGUGUAUUAGGCCUCUUGGUUUGAGACGGUGAAUUGGGCCUCUUGGUUUGAGACGGUGAAUUGGGCCUCUUGGUUUGAGACGGUGAAUUGGGCCUCUUGGUUUGAGACAGUGAAUUGGGCCUCUUGGUUUGAGACUGAAUUGGGCCUCUUGGUUUGAGACAGUGAAUUAGGCCUCUUUGAGACAGUGAAUUGGGCCUCUUGGUUUGAGACGGUGAAUUGGGCCUCUUGGUUUGAGACGGUGAAUUGGGCCUCUUGGUUUGAGACAGUGAAUUGGGCCUCUUGGUUUGAGACAGUGAAUUGGGCCUCUUGGUUUGAGACAGUGAAUUAGGCCUCUUGGUUUGAGACAGUGAAUUGGGCCUCUUGGUUUCAGGCAGUGAAUUGGGCCUCUCUUGUUUUUAAGGAUUCCACUGGGAUCAGGAAAACGAUGUAACAUAUAUAUUUUGGAAUUCCAUCUCAUAAUGUUACUCUUCUAACCCAUGGAAUCUAGGUAACUUCUCAGUUUGGUUUUGUUGUAAUACGACUGGGUUUGGCUGGAUUUUUCUUUUUGCAUUUAUAACUUAGCACUGACCUGCACUUGAUUGGUAGUUCAUGAGGUGCCAGUUGUAAACUGACCCAUGAUCUCAUAGUAUUUGACAAGUUGGGAUUUGCGUGAUGGAAUUAUAGUGGUGUGAGGAGAACUAAUUUGUUGUUUUGAUUGUCAUGGUGCUAGGACGUUAGGAUGGGUCAGGUUCGACGGUGUUAGGAUGGGUCAGGUUCGACGGUGUUAGGAUGGGUCGGAUUCGACGGUAUAGGAUGGGUCAGAUUCGACGGUGUUAGGAUGGGUCAGAUUCGACGGUAUAGGACGGGUCAGGAUUGACGGUGUUAGGAUGGGUCAGGUUCGACAGUAUAGGAUGGGUCAAGUUCGACGGUGUUAGAAUGGGUCGGAUUCGACGGUGUUAGGAUGGGUCAGGUUCGACGGUAUAGGAUGGGUCAGGUUCGACGGUAUAGGAUGGGUCAAGUUCGACGGUGUUAGAAUGGGUCGGAUUUGACGGUGUUAGAAUGGGUCAGAUUCGACGGUAUAGGACGGGUCAGGUUUGACGGUGUUAGGAUGGGUCAGGUUCGACGGUAUAGGAUGGGUCAAGUUCGACGGUGUUAGAAUGGGUCGGAUUCGACAGUGUUAGGAUGGGUCAGAUUCGACGGUAUAGGACGGGUCAGGAUUGACGGUGUUAGGAUGGGUCAGGUUCGACAGUAUAGGAUGGGUCAAGUUCGACGGUGUUAGAAUGGGUCGGAUUCGACGGUGUUAGGAUGGGUCAGGUUCGACGGUAUAGGAUGGGUCAGGUUCGACGGUAUAGGAUGGGUCAAGUUCGACGGUGUUAGAAUGGGUCGGAUUUGACGGUGUUAGAAUGGGUCAGAUUCGACGGUAUAGGACGGGUCAGGUUUGACGGUGUUAGGAUGGGUCAGGUUCGACGGUAUAGGAUGGGUCAAGUUCGACGGUGUUAGAAUGGGUCGGAUUCGACAGUGUUAGGAUGGGUCAGAUUCGACGGUAUAGGAUGGGUCUAGUUCGACGGUGUUAGGAUGGGUCAGGUUCGACGGUAUAGGAUGGGUCAAGUUCGACGGUGUUAGGAUGGGUCAGGUUCGACGGUAUAGGAUGGGUCAAGUUCGACGGUGUUAGAAUUGGUCAGAUUCGACGGUGUUAGGAUGGGUCAGAUUCGACGGUAUAGGAUGGGUCAGGUUGGACGGUAUAGGAUGGGUCAGGUUCGACGGUGUAGGAUGGGUCACGUUCGACGGUGUUAGGAUGGGUCGGAUUCGACGGUGUUGGGAUGGGUCAGGUUCGACGGUGUUAGGAUGGGUCAGAUUCGACUGUAUAGGAUGGGUCAGGUUCGACGGUGUUAGGAUGGGUCAGAUUCGACGGUAUAGGAUGGGUCUGGCCUGACAGCAAUAAAAAAAUUUAAGUAAACGUGAAUACCUCAUUGUGCCAAGUGAAUAAUAAUUAUUUUUUUUAAUUCUUUGGCCCACUUCUACAGACAAUAAUAAUACAUGGCGGUUUAUUUCACAACACAAAUGUCAGAUUUUUUUUUUCAUUAUUUUUCUGUGUUAGUUUAAUUUUUGUGGAUCUGUCAUUGUAUUUUUUGUUUUAAUUGCUAUCUAUUCGGAAUUACUGUAUUUUGUCACUUUUCUGCGAUCUGAUUGAAAUUUCAUUAAGUUUUUUUAUCCAAUUUUUCCAUGGUAUUUUUUUUGUCACUGAUCAUUCCAUGUAUAUGAAUUUUAUGAUUAUGUUUUUAGAAUUCACUUCAUUUUCGUGAAAAUUAAGAUGUAGUUUUGAUCUUCACUCCAUUCUGAAUUAAAUUUAAUUUGCGUAUUCUCUGUGUUCAUUUGUAUUUGCUUAGAAUUGUGAUUCACCAGUGAUUCCAGGUAGAUAAUGCUUUAAAUUGCACUGAUAACAGAUGUGUGUGUGUGUGUGUGUAAUGAGUUAACAAUAUUUUUGUGUUUUCGUAGAAUUGUGAUGUAUGCUUUUGAUAAACGAUAUAUUUUUCUUGAAAUUAUUCCAAUGUUCCUGUCAAUGGCAGCUCAUGAUCACAGUGUCUAUCUCGCCAGAGGUAGUUCGACUCGGAUUAUAUUUUCUUUACAAAGGGGUAUAUACAAUGAAAUUAACUAUUAUUGUGUUUCUAAAGCAUGUUGUUAAGUGUUGUAGUAUUCAAUUCAAAUGUCAACAUUGUAAUAUUGAAUUCAAAUGUCAAUGUGUUAUAACGAUACAUUGUUCUGGCGUGUGUUUAUAUUCUAUUCUCAGUAAGAUGUUUGUAUAUAAGCAUGUAUAUAUAUAAUCAUAGUUAUACCAGAUCUCAGUGGAUUGUAACAGUCUGAGCUGCAUAUCGUAGAAAUGUGUGGUGAUCUUUUGAGAUUUGUAUCCAGGGCUUUGGAUGUGUUUAUGCUGGGUACAUUUCCAUGCGUCUUCUAGUGAUGGAUUUGCACAGUAUAUGGAAGACAUGCACUUUAUUCUGUGUUCACGGUACAUAGUUUUGUUUUGUUUAUUUUAUGUUAAACAAAUUAUGAGCUAGUACAAACAACAAGACUACCUGAAACAUGUCGGAUUGGAAAAAUCAAUCAUUUAAACGCUAAGUUAUAAGUGAUGUGGAAACUAACUGAAAAAUCUCUAAUAGUGGAAGAAAUUUUAAACAAAUAAUUUUAAGUGAUGUGAAAACUAACAUUGAAAACUUGUAUUACCACAAAGUUGUAGGUGAUGUUUAAAUUAACAGCAAAGAACAUGUAUAGCUGAAGAUACUUUACAUUGUGUAAUAACUAGACUUAACCACUUUAACAGCAACACUACAAUUGAGUGUUUAUAAACAUUGAUGGAUAAUUUCCUUGCACACUACUUAGUACCAUAAAGCUGCUUUAACCUGAACACAGUAUGUGCAAUAUGCAGUGCUGUAAAAAUACUGCAUGCACUAUUUACUUGCAUACGGUUUCGAUGCAGUGUUUUUAGUAGAUAAAACUUUUGUAAAACGAAAAUCAUAGCAGUACCAGAGAUAUGGCAUCAGAAAGACUUAACACCCCACUCAAAAAUGAUAAAUUCUCAAUUAAUUUUUUUUACCAGUUUUUAUAAAAGUUGAGAGAUUUUUAAGAACCUAUUUGUUAAUGCAAUUAUACAUUUUCUUUGAAGCAGGUGUGGAGAAAGCUUUCACAAAAACACUCAUGCUAAAUAACAUUGUAUUGAACUUUUAACUUCUACUUUGCAAUUACCAGUUGCUGUGACGCAGAAAUGUUACACUGCUGACAAUUUUAGCACUACAGGUUUUGUUUAUUUUGUAAUAGGUACAUGAGAUCAUAGUAUUUUGUCAAUCAAUUCACAUCCGGAGAUGACACAUCAAUAGACCCACAAAGAAACUGGAACUGAUGAAAAAUAUUGCUUUUAGAACCAAAAAUAUGAAAGUAGCCAUUUAAAAAAAAACAAAGAAGAAUUUUGUAAAAUCAGGGUUUCUAGAUUAUGGUAGCCCCAUUCUCAUGGCUAGUGAUAUUCAGUGUUGGGCUAGUAAAUAACUACUAUGCCCGACUGCUAGUGAAAUUUGUUUGUCAAAUGUUGCAGUUAGUCUGUUUUGUCAAUAUGCAUACCCUGCCCCCACCCACAAUGUUAGUGUUUAUUUAGUAAAAUUGUAUUAACUUAAGUAAAGUGGGGCUUUUGAGUUUUCAAUCGUGGCUAAUACAUUUUUCAAAUCACUAAUCCCAUGGCUAGUGGAUUUUAUAAAAAAUUGUAGAAGCCGUGAAAAUAAACACAUUUGUGGUUUGUUUAUGACAAGACAAUUCAAUAAAGUUUGUAAUUAUCCCGGUACACAUAUAUGCGUUAUAUGGAUGUUUGGUUUAUUAGACAUUGGCAUGUGCUUUUAAAACUUAGUUUUAAAUAGCGGGUAUUGCCAAACUUAGUUUGAAAUAGAGGGUAUUGCCAAACUUAGUCCACACUUGAACAGUUUUAUGAACACUGGCCCGAAUUUCUGUUAAUUAAUAUUACCCAACAGAUUUUCACCACUGACUGUUUAUAUGUUUCUGGGGUUGCUGGGGAUUUUUUUUUUUUUUUUUUUUUAUCAUGGACGAGUGACUUAAUUGGGCUGUCUUUAGGUUAUGACAAAACAGAACAAUUGUUCCCCACGUCCUCAACCAUGGUCAACAUUUGUCAGUUUGAGUAUAUGUUAACCAUAUAGGUAUGUGAUCACGUUUGAACGUACAUUCCUUCUGUUUGAUAGUCUAGUGGCUAGGCCAUCAUGUCGCCAUACUUGCUGGAUUUGUAUUCCAGGGCCCGUGCUUAUAAAACUUAAAGUCUAAGACUUUAAUAAAGUCCACACUUUAACGUAAUGCUAUUUGAAUGGUGUUGCCUGCCAUGAUGUUAAAGUCUGAACUUUAUUAAAGUCUAGACUUUAAGGUUUAUAAGCACGGGGCCUGGACUGGCUGCACACCAUGAUGAAACUCAGCUCAGUCGUUUGCCAUGGACGUUGAAGAUCACUCCCCUGACUUCUUUCCUGCUAAGCAUCAACAGACGACCCCAAGACCUGAACUGUGAGCUCAGGACAGCGUUACUUGAUAUUUUAACAUGAAAUAACAUGGGAAUGAAUUUACACAUUGAAAAAUACAGCAGUGUUCCAUUAUCACAUCUUUUGUGAUACCAAAUUUUAUUAUUUAAUCUGUUAAUAUAUAUACAUAUGUAUUUUUAAAAAGCUCUUCUAUGUCUUGAUCUACUCUAGACAUCACAUUGUCAUACAUCCAGCCCUUUUUGUAAAAACAAAAACUGGUCAUAAGAAUGGUGGGUACAGGAUUAAAGGACGAUCUGUUAUUCAAUGCAAUUGUUGUUGUGCUCUUACUCGGUGAUUUAACAUCAUCAGUGUGGAAAAUAAAUUGACUAUUUCAGUCAGAUUUGCAUCAUUUU